AUUGAACGCUGGCGGCAUGCUUUACACAUGCAAGUCGAACGGCAGCGCGGGCUUCGGCCUGGCGGCGAGUGGCGAACGGGUGAUUAAUACAUCGGAACGUGCCCAGUAGUGGGGGAUAGCUCUGCGAAAGCCGGAUUAAUACCGCAUACGACCUGAGGGUGAAAGCGGGGGAUCUUCGGACCUCGCGCUAUUGGAGCGGCCGAUGGCAGAUUAGCUAGUUGGUGGGGUAAAGGCCUACCAAGGCGACGAUCUGUAGCUGGUCUGAGAGGACGACCAGCCACACUGGGACUGAGACAAGGCCCAGACUCCUAAGGGAGGCAGCAGUGGGGAAUUUUGGACAAUGGGCGAAAGCCUGAUCCAGCAAUGCCGCGUGUGUGAUGAAGGCCUUCGGGUUGUAAAGCACUUUUGGCGGGAACGAAAAGGACUGUGCCAAUACCAAGGUUCGAUGACGGUACCCGAAGAAUAAGCACCGGCUAACUACGUG
rnacentral:rRNA from 1 species